rnacentral:lncRNA from 1 species
ACCACGAUGACUUGUACCUCAAUGCCAGCAGCUUCCUGGCCCUGAUCAAUGGGGAAAGAGACCAUCCCAAUGCCACAGUAUGGCGGAAGAACUUUCUGCGUGUGGGCCACCUGGUGCUGAUUGGGGGCCCUGAUGAUGGUGUUAUUACUCCCUGGCAGUCCAGCUUCUUUGGUUUCUAUGAUGCAAAUGAGACCGUCCUGGAGAUGGAGGAGCAACUGCCUGCCAGGCCCACCCACCAGUCUGAGCUGCUUCUGCUGAGGCUGGUCUGCUUGAAGCCUCCCAGGAGAAAGAAGCCAGGUGGGAAUGGAGAGAGAGAGGAAGCCUGUAGGGUCCAGCGUCAAAGCGAAUCAUGGGGUCCAGGGCUGAGCUGUGCACUCUCUUAGGCGGAUUCUCCUUCCUCCUGCUACUGAUACCAGGCGAGGGGGCCAAGGGUGGAUCCCUCAGAGAGAGGUGACAACAGAGGGGGUAGGGCCCGGGGUGAGCUCUUCUCAGGAGCCUUCUGCUGGGGGUGGGGCUUCACAGGAGGCAAAACAUAACUGUAAGUUUAGAAUGGGGGUGAGAGGCUGUCAUCUGGAGGGAGAGCGGGGGGCCUCAGUAGCCUCUUGAGGGAAGUGGGACUCCUGGCUCCCCAGGGCCUGGCCUACUCAAUCUCUCCCACCUCAUCCUCUGGCAUGGACGCAGUCAGGGAGUCUGCUCCAAGCAGACACUGGUGGUCCCGCUCCACUACAACGAGUCCUACAGCCAACCAGUGUACAAGCCCUACCUGACCUUGUGCGCUGGGAGGCGCAUCUGCAGCACUUACAGGACCAUGUACCGCGUUAUGUGGCGGGAGGUGAGGCGGGAGGUUCAGCAGACCCAUGCAGUGUGCUGCCAGGGCUGGAAGAAGCGGCACCCGGGGGCGCUCACCUGUGAAGCCAUCUGCGCCAAGCCUUGCCUGAACGGAGGCGUCUGCGUUAGGCCUGACCAGUGCGAGUGCGCCCCCGGCUGGGGAGGGAAGCACUGUCAUGUGG